GGACGAUGGAGGCCUGGCUUGUAAGUUUCUGUGGGAAACAAAGACUGCAGGGCCCUUUGUGUGAAGAACCUGUGGUGUCAGUUCAGCUGCAGUUGAAGAAUUAGCUAUGAUUAAUAAGAGAACAGAAGCACCGAAGUAAAACCUUUGCUUUGCUGGGACAAUGCAUGCUGGUCAGCUGGGUCAGAAGAAUCAUCUGGGAUUAAGAAGAAACCAGCAUCAUUGAGGUGUAGUCUUCUGGGAGGGGUUUCCUGAGGGUCAAAACACAGAAGCUAUGUUCCAGAAGCCAAGGUUGUACCUCGUGGUGGCAGCCGGACUUGGUGGUACUUGUUAAGCGUCACCCAGGUGGUUCUUGUGUUGAAGGCCUGAAGGGGUCAUGGAGAGCAGCUGAGGCUUGGCACUGCAGUGCAGGGCUGGAGUCCCUAAAGAGAGCCUAGGAGAGGCUAUCUGUAAAAGUGCGACUCAGUUGCAACAAGGGACCCUAGCAGUUUGGGAGAUGCCAGUACCAUGGGAUGACCAGCAAGAACAUCAGCAGCCAUGGAGUGGAGCCCGCUAAAGCCUAGAAGACAAGCUACAUGCACUACAAAGGGCAGAGUUGGAGAAGUGACCCAAAGCUUGAAAGGGCCCAGAAGAGCGUGAGUGAAUCCUAGAAUCUAAGCUCACCGAUUCAGCGAGCAUAUCUGGUCAGAAAGCUCCAAAGAGCCUCCUGUUUCUACCUCCCCAGAACUGGAAACGCAGGUACAGAAUGAGACUCCAAUGCCUCAGAAGAGGACAGACAGAAACCCACAGUCUCAUAGUCUUAUGAUAGAAUACAAAUUGCCUCAUGAAAGGUACAGAAAAAAAGGACUAAUAGC